rnacentral:lncRNA from 1 species
UGCUCAAAAGUUCCUUCAAGUUCGCUUUGUUAUAUCCAGUGACCAGUUUGCUGACAUUCUAACCAAGGGACUAUCUGCUCCACUAUUUCAGACCCACUGCAACAACCUCAGGCUCGAUUGCUCCUCUCCUGAGUUUGAGGGGGGAUGUUGAGGAUAGUGAUCCAAUACUUAAUAAGAUGCCACUUGUCAUUAGAUAAGAAAGGUUGUUAUAUUAGGUAGUUACAAGAUAGCUUAAGAGAUAAGGUUUACUGUGUAAAAGAAUAUAAGUAUGUAAUAUUCUGAACAAUAAAUGUAAUGAAAUAGUCUUUAGUAUUGAACGACUCUCUCUUUCUUCUUCUCAAGAUAUCUCUGUUCUUCGUCUUU